UCAAAAAUCAAAUUUUGAUAUGUGAAAACUAGUACCAUGCAGACAACAAAAUCUAGCAUAGAAAAAAUAAUUGCUGCUGAUAACAAGAUUUAAUCUGUCAUUUACACUGAAAACUGAGCUGAAUGGGAGAAUCUCUUAUCAUGGCGGCUGAUGACGUGUAUGCGGCAAUUCAUUACAACUGCUGUGCCUAGUACUAAAUGGGUUACAGAGUAUCUAUGAUCUAAAUGUCGGGAGUUCAAGCGAAAUUUUGCACUGUGGUCAAAGGAAAAGGAAUACAUGUAUCUACCUUUUAGCAUCCCUGAUCUCCCCCCAAAACUAUGAACAUUGUGCAAUAAUUGGAUACAUAACCUUGGAAAUGAAUCUUUUGUUUUUGAACGGCAUUUUGAGAAAGAGUCUUUUAAAGAGGAUAUCAGGGUAAGUAUACCAGUUAUAUUUGCUUUUUACUCAGUAAAUACUAAUAAUUCUUAAUGUGUAUAACCAGAGUUUAUUUACAACAAACUUUUACUUAUAUAAUAAUUUUCUAAUUUAAUCUAUCCUUAUCCAGUGAACAUUUUGUACAGGCUAAAUAUGAAGGGGUGGGUAAACACUGCUUUUUAAAUAUUCAAAGUUAAAUUAAUAUCUAUUUAAGUUAAGAUAUUGGGAUACACACCAAAACCUAUUAAAAAGAAGAUGCAGUAACUGAAAUAUUUGAUGGCAGCAAGCCUAAGAAAUAAGAGAAAAUAGCUCAAAAAGAUGAGGAAAAGGAAAAGCAGGAUACAUGUAAUACUUUCAAAAAUCAUCACAGCACUAGCACAUUUUGUAUUAUACUAUUGUUUUUAAAGAAAUUGAAAAUGUACAAGUAAACAAAUGAAGUAUAGUAUAUAUGAAGUAAGUAUAUAUAAUUAAUUAGUCAUUAUUUUUCAGCUAAUUCAUUUUCUUUUGGAAACCAAUGAAAACUCAUAUGCAGAACCUAUUGACCAACCUGGACUAUCAGCAUCUAAGGAAACAGCUCAAUGAAGACAUGAAUAGUGACAAAAAUAUCCCACUCUCAAUCCAUAUUGAAGAAUAAAUCAACUUUGUGCAACAUAUACAGAUAGAAUUGCCCAGUCAUUGUCCAUCAUAUGUGCUAAGGAAUGUUCAAGUGAAGAAGUGAAGAUAAUGAACAAUCCUGUAUAAAGAAUACAAAAUUAAAAGUUUAAGAAUUAAGAGUGUCGUUUUCAUCAAUUUAUCCCAAUGCACUAGUGUUUUCAUUUGAAUCUGCUAAUAAUUCCUCUUCAUUAUAAUCAGGCUCAUAUUGAUAUCCUUUGCAUUCAGACAUGAUCAGAUGCUUUCACUGAGAGGCAAUUGCCCGGUAUACGUCAUAAACAGAUGGGAUUGUGGGAAAUAUCUUAAAGAGUGAUAACUUUAUCUUGCAAAAUGGCAGCCUCCAGCAGAUGGUGUGUAGCUAUAUUUAAUAGCCGAUUUCUACACAACAGAUUACAAUCAAAUGGAAAUAACCAGUGGACUUAAUUACUAAAUAUUUAGUAUUUGAAAUGUGAAAAUAUUUUUUUAUACCCUACGUUCCCUUUAAUACUAAAACCAUGUUAUAGAAUACUAAAACCAUGUUAUAGACCACAUUAAUACUAAAACCAUGUUAUAAACAACAUUAAUACUAAAACCAUGUUAUAGACAACAUUAAUACUAAAACCAUGUUACAUUUUAUAGACCACAUUAAUACUAAAACCAUGUUAUAGACCACAUUAAUACUAAAACAAUGUUAUAGACAAUAUUAACAAUGUUAUAGACAAUAGUAAUACUACACUUCUCAAUGUCAAAAAUAUCUCCAUGUCAUCAAGAUUCCAAAUCAAACUAAACAAAUUAUAAUCCAUGUACAUGGUUAGUGUGCUGUCAUUUUACAUGCAAUUUUUUUGUUACUAACACUUGUUAUUUUUUGCUUCUGUUACUGACAGUAGUUAUCUAAUGACAGUGAUGUUUUGUGUUCACUAUUGACAAUUGUCGUGUUUUGAUAUUGCUACUGACAGCUGUUCUGUUUUGCUUUUGUUAAUGACAGUUCUCGUGCUUUGUUUUUGUUACUGAUUGGCUGUUGUCUGCUACUGACAGCUGUUCUUGUUACUGAUUGGCUGUUGUCUGCUACUGACAGCUGUUCUUGUUACUGAUUGGCCGUUGUCCGCUACUGACAGCUGUUCUUGUUACUGAUUGGCCGUUGUCCGCUACUGACAGCUGUUCUUGUUACUGAUUGGCCGUUGUCCGCUACUGACAGCUGUUCAUGUUACUGAUUGGCCGUUGUCCGCUACUGACAGCUGUUCUUGUUACUGAUUGGCCGUUGUCUGCUACUGACAGCUGUUCUUGUUACUGAUUGGCCGUUGUCUGCUACUGACAGCUGUUCUUGUUACUGAUUGGCCUUGUCUGCUACUGACAGCUGUUCUGUUUUGCUUUUGUUGUGGACAGCUGUUAUGCUCUUGUUCCUGAUAGUGUUGCUUUUGUUGCUAAUGAUUUUUGUUUUGUUUUUGUUCCCAACAGCUGGUAUGGUUUGUUUUUGUUACUAACAGUUGUUUUGUUCCAGACAGUUGUUGGUUUUUUUUUUUCCAUGACAGUUGCUGUUUUCGUUACUAACAGUUGUUGUGUUAAUUGUUUUUGUUCCUGACAGCUGUUGUUUUGCAUUUGUUACUGACAGCUGUUGUUUUGUUUUUGUUACUGACAGUUGUUGUUUUGUGUUAGUUACUGACAUGACAGUGGUUGUUUUGUUUUUGUUACUGACAGCUAUUUUGUUUUUGUUACUGACAGCUGUUGUUUUGUUUUUGUUUCUGACAGUUGUUGUUUUGUUUUAGUUACUGACAGUGGUUGUUUUGUUUUUGUUACUGACAGUUGUUGUUUUGUUUUUAUAACUGACAGCUGUUGUUUCGUUUUUGUUACUGACAGCUGUUGUUUUGUGUUAGUUACUGACAGCUGUUGUUUUGUUUUUAGUUACUGACAGCUGUUGUUUUGUAUUUGUUACUGACAACUGUUGUUUUGUUUUUAGUUACUGACAGCUGUUGUUUUGUUUUUAGUUACUGACAGUUGUUGUUUUGUUUUUGUCACUGACAGCUGUUGUUUUGUAUUUGUUACUGACAGCUAUUGUUCGUUUUUGUUACUGACAUUUGUUGUUUUGUUUCUGACAGCUAUUAUGAUUUUAUUGUUCCUGGCAGUUGUGAAGUUAAGAGCUACUAC